rfam:Cryptococcus gattii R265 mitochondrial scaffold supercont2.28, whole genome shotgun sequence.
GCGAGUAUAGUAUAAUUGGUAAUACCUUCGCCUUCCAAGCGAAUUUUUUCAGUUCGAGUCUGAAUACUCGUA